GAUGAACGCUGGCGGCGUGCCUAAUACAUGCAAGUCGAGCGAACAGACGAGGAGCUUGCUCCUCUGACGUUAGCGGCGGACGGGUGAGUAACACGUGGAUAACCUACCUAUAAGACUGGGAUAACUUCGGGAAACCGGAGCUAAUACCGGAUAAUAUAUUGAACCGCAUGGUUCAAUAGUGAAAGACGGUUUUGCUGUCACUUAUAGAUGGAUCCGCGCCGCAUUAGCUAGUUGGUAAGGUAACGGCUUACCAAGGCGACGAUGCGUAGCCGACCUGAGAGGGUGAUCGGCCACACUGGAACUGAGACACGGUCCAGACUCCUACGGGAGGCAGCAGUAGGGAAUCUUCCGCAAUGGGCGAAAGCCUGACGGAGCAACGCCGCGUGAGUGAUGAAGGUCUUCGGAUCGUAAAACUCUGUUAUUAGGGAAGAACAAAUGUGUAAGUAACUAUGCACGUCCUGACGGUACCUAAUCAGAAAGCCACGGCUAACUACGU
rnacentral:rRNA from 1 species